AAAUUCUAACAAGAAUACUAAUAAAUAAAAUGACGAGGGCUUAGGCCCAAUAAUAACAAAAUACAAUCAUUUUUAUAUAAAGAGUGGGCCUUUGACCCAAUCUUUUCAAUUCUCCUCCACUUUUGAAUUCUUCCAACUUCGAGACCUGUUCGUCGAUUUUUAUAGUUGGCUGACUCGAUAAAGGGAUUUGAACUUCCAUGGCUCAUUCGAAAUGCAAGGGAAGAACGUGUGGAGUCCACAUGACUC
rnacentral:lncRNA from 1 species